rnacentral:rRNA from 3 species
UAGCAUAAUCAUUUGUUUUUUAAUUAAAAACUGGAAUGAAAGGUUUAACAAAAUAGGUUGUCUUUUUUAUAAAAAUAUAAAUUGUAUUUUAAGUAAAAAUACUUAAGUAGAAUUGAGGGACGAUAAGACCCUAAAAGCUUUAUUAAAGUUAGAGGGGUUCAGAGAAAAAAAGAUAAAAUUUAGCUGGGGUAGUUUUUUUAUAAAAACUGAGGUUUUAAUUUACAAGAAAUGGACAAGGGUCCUUUAAAUAAGGAUAAAUUAAGUAAGUUACUUUAGGGAUAACAGCGUAAUAAUUUUAAGGAGUCCAAAUCUAUAAAAUUGUUUGCGACCUCGAUGUUGAAUUAAAAAAAUCACAUAGAGCAACCACUAUAGUGAUGGGUUUGUUCAACCUUUAUAGUUUUACAUGAUUU